UGUGCAGACACAAACAGAAAAUCUACAUAUAUUUAUUAUUAAGUUUUGUUUUUUGCAACCGAGAGAUUGAUAAAAGGAAAGAAGAUAAUUUGAAUAUAUUUAAAUCUAUAAUAUAUACUUUGUCCCAUUGUUGUUAAAGCCUCGUAAUUUUAUAGCAAUUUUCGGUGUAACAAUGAGAAGAAAAAAACCAGGAUGAAACGCCUUAAUUUCUUUCACUCACAAAGUUUAUUGUUAAAAUUAUUACUGAUAUUACAAUUGCAAAACUCGAGUACUAAUCAAUUAGUGUUGUCCUAAUGGGAUACCGAUUCGAUUAUAUAUAAAAAUCGACUUUAUUGAAGAAUGACUUUUAAUUGGUCCCCUUAAGCUUUGUACCUGAAGCUUUGCACGUUAAUAAUUACGGAACUACUUAGGUGUUUAUUGUCAAACGGUAAAUAAAUGGUUGGACGAGUAUAACUUACAUUUCCUAUUCAAGCAAUUUUGGAGUGCAGUUGGUGGAACGUUAAACUCGCGAUUUGUUAAUCUCUUGUUUACAUGUUUACAGUGGUAUUAAAACACAAAAAAAAACUGAGUAUAUAAUAUGGUCACAAUACUUGCUUAUAGAACUGAUAAGCAAAGAACAAUGGAUAUUGUGGAAGUGGUAUGUUAACAGUAGUGCCUGCAUUAAUACUAGAAGUGGCAG